GAUGAACGCUGGCGGCGUGCCUAAUACAUGCAAGUCGAGCGAACAGACGAGGAGCUUGCUCCUCUGACGUUAGCGGCGGACGGGUGAGUAACACGUGGAUAACCUACCUAUAAGACUGGGAUAACUUCGGGAAACCGGAGCUAAUACCUGAUAACAUGUUGAACCGCAUGGUUCAACAGUGAAAGACGGUCUUGCUGUCACUUAUAGAUGGAUCCGCGCCGCAUUAGCUAGUUGGUAAGGUAACGGCUUACCAAGGCAACGAUGCGUAGCCGACCUGAGAGGGUGAUCGGCCACACUGGAACUGAGACACGGUCCAGACUCCUACGGGAGGCAGCAGUAGGGAAUCUUCCGCAAUGGGCGAAAGCCUGACGGAGCAACGCCGCGUGAGUGAAGAAGGUCUUCGGAUCGUAAAACUCUGUUAUUAGGGAAGAACAAAUGUGUAAGUAACUAUGCACGUCUUGACGGUACCUAAUCAGAAAGCCACGGCUAACUACGUG
rnacentral:rRNA from 1 species